GACGAACGCUGGCGGCGUGCUUAACACAUGCAAGUCGAACGGAAAGGCCCCUUUGGGGGUCCUCGAGUGGCGAACGGGUGAGUAACACGUGAGUAACCUGCCCUUGACUUCGGGAUAACUUCAGGAAACUGGGGCUAAUACCGGAUAGGAAUCCUUGCUGCAUGGUGGGGGUUGGAAAGCUUCGGCGGUUUUGGAUGGACUCGCGGCUUAUCAGCUUGUUGGUGGGGUAGUGGCUUACCAAGGCUUUGACGGGUAGCCGGCCUGAGGGGGCGACCGGCCACAGUGGGACUGAGGUACGGCCCAGACUCCUACGGGAGGCAGCAGUGGGGAAUAUUGCACAAUGGGCGGAAGCCUGAUGCAGCAACGCCGCGUGCGGGAUGACGGCCUUCGGGUUGGAAACCGCUUUCAGCAGGGGCGAAGCUUGUGGUGACGGUACCUGCAGAAGAAGCACCGGCUAACUACGUG
rnacentral:rRNA from 1 species